UCCAGCUGAUUCAACAUAUGAUCAUUACCCCAUCUAUGAUAUAUACAAAGUAUGCAUGGAAGAGAUCAAUUAAGAUACGUACUUGGAGUCCCUAAGCCAUCAGGGGUGCCAUAAUAUGUUGCCCGUGAGUAUGUGAAGGCGUCUUCACACUUGCAUAGCACAGGCAAGAGCACAAUGACACAUAGAAAGCAGCAAUAGUGGCUAAGUGGAAAACCCAUGUUUAUACGGAAUUACUCAAGCAAAAUAUUGGAAGUGAGCUAGCCAAAAGAAGUAGAGGAAGUGAGGUCGAGAUGGGUAAGCCUAGAAUCAAAGUUCCAUAUUUAUAGUUGAGGUUUAGAGGGCAAGAGAGUCUAUUUUUUUCCUUCCACUAUGGACUAGGGAGGCCUAGGAUUAGAUUAUAGAUAUGUACAGAUGGGACACCCGUUUCGACCCCCCUAAGACCAUAGUUUUACAUUUUCUUGGUAUGUAAGAAAUUCAUAAAGAGAAAUCAGACUUGUAGUCAAACUCUUUUCUUCUCCUCUGAUUGACUGUUUGGUUCAGCUCAUUGGAGUAGGGAGUAGCGUGGGAAAUAUUCUAAGAUUUGGCCAUUGUGCUUGUGUAACUAAAUUAAUUAAACAUCUAUCUCACAUGGAAUAUUUAGCACUGGUGAGGAGAGCUCAGAAACAUGAAGGGAAACUAAGAAAAUUAUCAAAGCAUGGAAUAAACAAGUCAAAAACCAUUUAUUGACAAACGUAGAUGCAUUGUUUAACCAUGUAUCUUGACAUUUGCAGUACUCUCAAUGAUGUGUUGGUGCGUGAAUGAAGAGUAAAAUUGAAAGAAUUGAAAAGUCUCCUAUUUUGGAUUAGCUUCUAAUUUCACAAAUACGUGUAUACAUAUAUACCUAUAAGUUAGGCGGAAUGAUAUUUAGGGAUGGAGGUUUUACUUCCUUUCAUUUACUUGCUCUUUCCGGACAUACAUAUAUAUUAUGUUUGGCUCUUAAAAAUUAUUGACGAAAUUAAAAUAUAUGUUUUUUUAUAUUUGAUUUAUUAUAUAUAUAUAUAUAUAUAUAUAUAUAUAUAUAUAUAUAUAUAUAUUUGAAUUGGGAAAAUGAGUGAUGGGCAGAGUCCGUGGGCUGGCUGCAGCCAAGUGGAUAAGGCUACCAGGGAGGCAUGGUUGGUUAGAGCGCACUGAAGAAGCUGUCAAAACAAGUGAGCUGGGACUUACAGACUAGUGGUAAAUUAGGGGCAAAGGCACUCAUCCUUGAUUUUUUGGUUUAUACUUUAUACUUAAUAGGUAGCGUGUUAUGUACUUUUGACGUGUGCAAUGUGGGCUUAUGCUGAAAGCGAUGUCCAGUACCCAAGACAAGGGGCUGGGGCUGCAUAAUACCCAAAUUUGAGUCCCACUUGGGGUAGGUGGCUCUUCAUCCUGGCUCUCCAUUUGGUCACCACAUUCCAUUACUAAUCACAAAAAUAACAAGUGUUGUUGGUGUUUUAAGAAUAGCUAAGGAAAGAAGACACAAUAGAAAAUAGAGAAAAUAUAUCAGUGGAAGUCACUUUUUUAUUUCCUCCAUCCAGCGUACAUUUAUAGAACUGGGAAAUAACUGAAAAGAGAAAAAAAUAUCAAAUUCAAAACAGAUAGUACGUGAUCCACAAUUUAUGAAAGUGGACUCACAUCUCCUAAAGAAUAUGAACUAACAAUGAUUCAGUUUUAUUCAAACUUUGAAAAAUUAAAACAUAACAUGGCAGUCCAAAAAGCUAACUUCUAACACUCCUCCUUGCUUUAGGAACUGCAAACUCCAAGCUUUUGUCUGUGAAACUCAAACUUAGUGACUGACAAGGGUUUGUGAAUAUGUCAGCCAGUUGCUCUUCCGUUUUGCAGUAGCGAAGAUUAAUAUCUCCAUCUUUCUGCACACCUCUCAAAAAGAAGAGUUUGAUAUUGAAAUGCUUGGUUUUCCCAUGAAACACAGGAUUGUGAGAAAUUGCUAUUAUAGCUUGGUUGUCCACGAACACUUCAGUACCUUGUGUUUGCUUCAUAUGCAAAUCAACCAAUUUUUUUCUCAACCACAAUGCUUGAUUUACUGUCACGGUUGCUGCUACAAAUUCCGCUUCUGCAGUAGAUUGAGCCACAAUAUCCUGUUUUUUUUUAACACCAUGAGAAACUUCCUGAGCCAAGACUGAAACAAUACCCUGAAGUACUCUUCAUAUCAUCUAAGGAACCACCCCAAUCACUGUCAGAAUACCCGAACAACUUCAUAUUUGGAAUCUUUUGAAACUUAACUCCAUAGUCGACAGUUCCUUUGAUGUACCGCACAACUCUUUUUACUGCCUUUAGAUGCACCUCACUAGCAUAAUGCGUAAUCCUUGAUAGAACACUUACAACAUACAAUAUAUCAGGCCUUGUUGCUGUAAGAUACAUCAAACAACCAAUGAGACUUCUGAAGUAUGUCUCCUCCACCUUUUCAGCUCCAUCAUCUUUGCUUAGCUUUUCUUUUUGGUUCAUGGGAGUAUUCAUUUCUUUGCAAUCUUCCAUUUUGAACUUCUUGAGAAUCUCCUUUGUGUAUUUUAUCUGGCAAAUAAAAACUUGAUCCUUUCCUUGCUUGAUCUCCAUUCCAAGGAAGUAUGUCAUUAGACCAAGAUCUGUCAUUUCAAAAACUUGCAUCAUAUCCAGCUUGAACUCAUCAAUAAGCUUUGCACUACUUCCUGUAAUCAAAAGAUCAUCCACAUAAAGAGAAACAAAAAGAAUUUCAUUGUUAUUUUUGAUUACUACUCAAAAAGUGCUAUUUGAUAGCCUAUAAUUAAUCCUUUUAAACACUUUUGAGUAGUAGUUUAGGCCUUUUAACUCAAUUGGCAUGUUAAGGAUCCUUUAAAGCAAUUUUGAUCACUUUGUGUAAGUUUUGGUGUUUUUGUUAGUAUUUUGAUCACCAAAGCAAGUCAAGAAUGAGGAGAGCUAUGAGGAAUCUUGGGCAAAGCUUAGAAUUCAUUUGCCAAGAGUGAAUUCGGAUUGCAAGGAGAAAAAGCAAAGAGAAUCUGCCAUAAAGCAUAUUCUUGAUGACAGUCGUAGCAGCCACUUUUGGAGCACUUUCUGAAGUCCAAAUGAUGCAUGCUAUAUACCAUUUCAAAGCUCAGGAAGUCAACAAUCCAAUGCUUUAAACGGUGCACGAUUCGGAGUUGAAAAGAAGAAGUUGCAGCCAUUACAAGUCAAUCACUCUAAAGUGUUGCGGAAUCAGCCUUUUGUUGAGAGAAUUUCGCAGCACUUUUGUACAGUAAGGUGUUUCUCCUUCUGACGAUUCACGAACCAUGCCGCGAGAAGGGAGCUGGGAACCUCAAGGUGGAAGCCAACUUCGCAGCCCUGUGAAGAUAGCUCAGUGUUGCGAAAUAAUUUCACAACCCUCUUGGGUGUCUGCGAAAUCUCGCAGACACCAUUUUUCUCCUGCGAAAUGAUUCUUGAAGCCUCCCGAAGCUUGCUACUGACAUUGGGAGAUAUUUUCCAUUAGAUUUUUGUUGUCUAAAUCCCAAAAUACUCCUUGUAAACCACCAAUUACAUGAUUUCUUAGUUUUUAAGUUAGUAAAAAGACUAAAUAUCUUUGUAAUAAUUAGUGUUAUAUUAUGUUGAUAUAUAUACCUCUCGGGAGCCUGUUCUCAGAGAGGAGUUCCUUCUGUAAACGUUUGGUAAGCAAGUAAAGGUCUUUUCUUUCUACUGCCUUACCUUCUCACUUUGUAUUUUCAUUUUAUUUCUAAGUUAUGAAUUCUCUGAGGAAUUUUCCCCAGAGAAUGAGUAACUAAACCUCCAAUUCCUUGGAGCUAAGGUUGCCGGGGAAGGUUCCAAGUGCAAGAAUGCAAAACUUUGUGGUUUUAGCUAGUAAUGAAGAGGAAGUGAAAUCCUUCAAUGAUUUCUAUGUUUUUAGUUAACUUAAAACACCUUAGAGUCACCUGGGCCAACACUUGGUAAGGCAAGUGAUUUCCAACCAUGGAAAUGCACAAGUUUACCCCUUGCGAGCCUCUGGGACGUGACUUCAGGGUAGGAUUUUCUAGAAUAGCCAACACUUGAUAAGCUUUUGGACUCCUAGGAGACAUCCAUUAGUUAUCUCUUGCGAGCUUUUGACAGGUAAUCCAAGGUUAAAGAUCACCUUGAAUGGUAAGAGCUCGUGAGAGGCAUGAACCAUUGCAAGUUGCAUCAGUGAGAGAAUUAAAGUGAAAUCUAAUUGAAGGAGUCUCUGUACAUCACCGGUUAGAGAAUUAACUAUAUGUUGAAUCUCUAAUGCGAGGAAAUGAACCAACUGACCAGAGCCGUGUCUUUUGCAUGAGGAACCACCCUAGUGAACCUAAUUCUCCAAGGAAUGCUUUUCUUCCUAAAUUAUUCCAAACUUCUGUUAAGAUAGUUAGUUUAAGUCUAAACCUUUACCAAUCAAAGUUUGUGUUUUAUUUCUUAAGCUAACCGUGAAAUGAAACAAGACCAAUUCACUUAGAAUUGGUAUCCUUGAUUGCUUGUUAAUCAUUCCCAGUGAACGAUCCUAGAGCCACUAUACUAUAGUAGCUUUUUAUUUGCUACCCUAGUGUAUGGUGUUAUAGGUAUAAAUUUUGUUGAUCACUUCCUCAAUCAAGGAGCACCAGCUGAACACAAAUCAGCUGAGACAGCAAUUGGGCAUGAAUCAAUUUUCCUUAACAUAAAGUGUGGAUUCUGAAAGACUUUUUUUAAAGUCUAGACCAAGCAAAUAAUCAUCUAUUCGACUAUACCAGGCCCUUGGUGCUUGUUUUAAGCCAUAAAAAGCUUUAUGAAGUCGAUAGACUUUGUCUUCCAUAACAAAACCUUUAGGUUGCUCAACAUAAAUUUCUUCUUGAAGAAUUCCAUUAAGGAAUGCUGAUUUAACAUCCAUCUGAUGCACUUUCCAGCCAAGUUGAGCGGAACUAGCAAGAAGUAAUCUGAUUGUGUCAAGCCUUGCUACUGGAGCAAAUGUUUCAGAAUAAUCAACACCAAAAAACUGUGCAUAUCCUUUAACUACGAGCCUUGCUUUAUACUUGUUGACUGAACCAUCAGCAUUUAGCUUGGUUCUAAACACCCAUUUUACCCCAAUUACCUUUCUUUCUUGAGGUCUAUCAACAAGCUCCCAGGUUUUGUUUUUUUUCAAUCAUGAAUAGCUCCUCCUUCAUUGCAUCCUUCCAUUUGGACUCUUUGAGUGCUUCUUCAUGGUCGACAGGUUCAUAAAUUGCAACAUUGCAUCUCUGAUAAAUUUCAGAGAGCAAUCGAGUACUUCUUACUAGUGGAUCAUCCUCCAUUUCAUCUAAAAAACUUGUUUCAAGCUUUGUCUUUGAAUCUUCCCAAUCCCAUUCUUCAUUUUCCAUGAAGUGGACAUCUCUACUGAUAAUUAUAGUAUCAGUAUGUGGCUGGAAGACUUUAUAAGCCUUUGAAAUUGUACUAUAACCAAUAAAAAUUUCUGCAGCAACUUUUUUGUCUAGUUUAUCUCGUUUAACCUGAGGAACAUAGGUAAAACAAAGACAACCAAACACUUUAAGAAAAGUCAUUGGAGGUUUGUACCCAUACCAUGCUUCAAAAGGAGUUUGAUUCUUUACUGCCUUGGUAGAGAGUCUAUUAUGCAAAAAUACAGUUGUGUUUGCAGCCUCUGCCCAAAAUUUCUUCGGCAAAUUCUUCUUGUGGAGCAUGCAUUUGGCCAUCUCCAUAAUAAAUUGAUUUCUUAGUUCACUCACUCCAUUUUGCUCUGGAGUAUAAGGAGCUGAAAGUUGGUGUUCAAUUCCUGCUUCUUCACAAAAUAAAUUGAGUUGACAUGAAGUAUAUUCCUUGCCAUUAUCAGAUCUUAAAAUCAGAAUUUUGCAGCCACUUUCAUUCUCCACUUUUGCUUUGAACUUCCAGAAAGUGUUCCCAACCUCAAAUUUGAAUUUCAAAAAAUAUAUCUAGCACAUUCUAGUCAGAUCAUCUAUAAAAAUGAUAUAAUAGCGACUACCUUUGAUUGAGGGUGUCCUUUGAGGUCCUCCAACAUCGGUGUGAAUCAACUGCAACUUAUUUCAAGCUCUCCAAGUUGCUGUUGGGAAUGGAAGUCUGCUUUGCUUUCCAUAUUGACAAGUUUGGCAGCUUCUGGAAAUCACUUCAAACUCAGGUAAACCUUCCACCAUUUCUGAUUUUUGCAUUUUGAAAAGCCCUUGAUAACGAUAGUGCCCCAACCGUUUAUGCCAUAACUCAACAAUAUUUUCUUUUACUGGAAAAGCUAUUUGUUCUUCCUCAAGUGGAUCUAAUGAGAAACUUUUUCCUCUCAUUUUGACCUUAAACAAGUCUUGACCAGAGGCAUCCUUGAUCAGGCAAUAAUUAUCUUCAAAAUACACCUUGAAACCUUUUUCUAGCAGCUAACCAACACUUAACAAGUUUUGGUCUAUUCCAGGUACGUAAAGCACAUCAUCGAUGACUUUAGUACCUAAAUGGGUUGUAAUAGCAACAGUUCCAAUUCCUUUCGCAGGAAUAUGACCACCAUGAUCUAUUCGAACUCUUGCAAUUUUUGUAGGCUUCAAUUCUUUGAAAAGUUCCUUGUCAUGAGUCAUGUGAUUGGUGCAUCCACUGUCAAUCAAGCAGCUAUCGCUUGAAAUGCUACCUGAAAAACAAGUUGCAACAAAGAGAUGAUCAUUUUCAUCUUCAUUAGCGAUUUGGGCAUUUGUGUCUUGCUGCUGGUUUUGGUUCUUGCAAAUGAUAGCUUCAUGUCCAAGUUGAUUGCACUUGUUACACUUAGCAUCUGGCCUUUUCCAGCACUUGAACGGUGAGUGGCCAGUUUUGUCACAAUGCUUACAAGGUGGGUACUUUCCCUUGGAACUUCCAGCUUUGUUUUUGUUGCUCCUGUGUGCUGCAGCUUCUCCAUUUGAUUGUUGGUGCUUUCUAUUUUUCUUAUUUUUGUUUCUCCAACCAUCUUCAUGUUUGGCGGGCAAGGCUUCCUCUACAGUUGCUUCUUGUCUCGUAACCAUCCGUUGUUCUUGCGCCUGCAAAGAGUUCAACAACUCUGCCAACGUGAUUUUGGACAAAUCUUUGGUAUUUUCCAAAGUGGUUAUGGUAGCUUUAAAUCUUUCAAGAAUAGUAACCAGAGUUUUUUCAACAUUCCAAAGUCUUUAAACUCCGAACCAAGCAAUCUUACUCUGUUGGCUAUGCUUAAAAGCCUUCUAGAGUACUCCUUGAUGGUUUCUAACUCUUUCAUCUUCUGCAACUCAAAAUCUCUGAUUAGAUUCAGCACUUUCAUGCCUUUAAUUAUAUCAUCUCCUUCAUAUUCAAAUUUGAGAUAACUCCAAAUGGCUUUGGCUGAUUUCAAAGACAUAAUUCGGGUGAAGAUUGUAGCUGAAAUUGCUGCAAAUAGGCAGGCUUUUGCCUUAGACUUUCUGGUUUUCAUUUCAUUGUGAUUCUUGACUUGAGCCAUCAUUGGGUUGUCUGAUAGUGGAGGAACGUCAUAGUCAUUUUCAACAGCCUCCCAUAGAUCUACAGCGUCUAGGUAGGCUUCCAUCCGCACAGCCCAUAUGGUGUAAUUAUCACCAUUGAAGACUAGAGGUGCUAUUAUUGAGAAACUUGAGUCUCCUUCCAUGCUUGAAAUUUUGGUGGAAUACGUGGUGUUUUGGUGGACCUCAACUCUCUUGAAAACUCACAAUUUUUUUCACUCACGGUCCUUCAAGAAUAUAAAGCUCUGAUACCAAUUGUUGGUGUUUUAAGACAAGCUAAGGAAAGAAGACACAAUAGAAAAUAGAGAAAAUAUAUCAACGGAAGUCACUUUUUUAUUUCCUCCAUCCAACGUACAUUUAUAGAACUGGGAAAUAACUGAAAAGAGAAAAAAAAAUCUCAAAUUCAAAACAGAUAGUACGUGAUCCACAAUUUAUGAAAGUGGACUCACAUCUCCUAAAGAAUAGGAACUAACAAUAACUUAGUUUUAUUCAAACUUUGAAAAAUUAAAAUAUAACGUGGCAGUCCAAAAAGCAAACUUCUAACAAGUGUCUUUAGCCAUAGAAUUCGACUGUAAUCACUUCUGUUUGUAAUGUCGCCCAUUUUGGUGACUCAAUGCAUAUUCCUUUUUAUGUCUUUUGUGUUUUUUUAUAAUAACACCGACUUUAGAAAAAAAUUCGAAAUAAUAAUAAUAAUAAUAAUAAUAAUAAUAAUAAUAAUAAUAAUAAUAAUAAUAAUAAUAAUAAUAAUAAAUAAUAAAAUUCGAAUAUGUUUUCUUUUAUUCUAAUAAUAAUAAUACCGACUAAGAGAGAGCUGUCUUGAGUUCACAAAAUUUGUUUUCUCAGAGCUGUUUACGCACACCUUCCCAGACAACUUAAGAUGGAAAACGACUCCCAAGUAUUCCUUUGUCUAUGAUUCAGAAUGUGAAUUUAGUUGAUCCAGUUUUCAGUUUUGUAGUAAGGAGACUGAACCUUUUGCACAAGGCAACGUAUAGCUAAACAGAAAUAGAAUUGCAACAGAAGACCAUUGUGUUGAGGCCUUGCGUCCCAGUGAUCCACGUAGCUGCCAAGUGGACGCACGCUUUCAACCAAGAUUGAGUUCUGGUUCAAUCUUCCUUGCAAAAGAUGUCCGGACAGGGUGUCCGGACACACCCUCCGAUGGUUUUGUUAGCCAUGGCUCAAGAGAUUAAGAUGUCUGACUUUUUCAAGGAUAGCAAGCUUACCUUCCUCCUUAUGUGAAGGUCUUUUUAUAUAGUGUCAGAAGCUCUGCCUCCCUCUUUAAUGGUGGGAAGACUUUUUGGUUCGUCAUGAUGCCUCUAGGUGGUGGCAGGGCCAUCAUCACCUUUCGGAUGGCUGUCAGAGAUCGUGGGAUGUGACUUGCCAUCAUUCUUGUCCUUUUGCUCUGCAGGCGGCGGAACGUGGGUUGUGUCAGGCUGUCGGAAUGACGUAGCAAGGCUUGCUCACUUUAGUCGAUAAUCUGGAUAGGGAUAUGCUAUCGUCAGGAUGUGAUGUUCGCGAGUGCCGUGUGCUUCUCCCUGAGGGAGUUCGGAAAGGGGAGCGCGCCACGUGUCCUUUUAGGGGAAUCCGAAUAGAGUUGAUCCGGAUAGCGAUGCGCGCCACGUGUCAUCAGGGGGGAGGGGUCCCUACACAUUGAUGAUAUCUUUGAUUAGGGUGGAGUUCAUCCUUUUAUGGGCUUUCAUAAGAUAAAAUACGAUGCAUGGUUCCAUAUACCUAACGAAGCAUCUACAAGCACAACUUGGUAUAGGAAGACAAAUAAAUGUUAUGGCUAUCAUUUCAUUGGAAGAGUGAUUUAAUAGUAUGACACACGCACCCAAAAAUACAUGUAUUGCCCUAAAAGUGCCACAAAAUUCUGUCUACUAUUAAUUCUGUGGCUCCCUUCCAUCAAUUAUAGUUCCAACACUUGCUCUUGAUCCAGUUAUGAGCUCAUCACCCUCGCAUUUUGCAUCCACCACUUCUCCUGCCAUUCCAAUUCAAUAUACAUUGCAUCACUAAACAUUUGAUGAAGCUACAAACAUGGACAUUUACAUCAAAUUAACUACAGAACAUCUGGACUGACUAGUUAUGUAUAGACUGAUCAGUUUACACUGAUAAUUUGAUAUUUUUUCAUACACGUGGGGUGGAAAGAGAGAGAGAGAGAGAGGGCCCUAACUUUGGGAUAGUGACUAUCGCUAUGAAGUGACUCUUCCUAUUAAUGCGUUGGGAGCACUUAGAGCAAAAGAUAGAACGCUAAGAUGGUACUUGAGGACCAAGACGUGUGGGGUUCAUAUUUCCAAAACUGUUACUUAUGACAUCUCUUUCCUACACUUGUAAUUUUGGGAUGAAUAGGAGAGAAGAGAGGGUACUGGCGGGGGCUAGAAACAGAAAUACGAAGCAACAAAACGAAUUAUUACAGAGCCAACCAUAAAUCCCCAUCCCUUCACAAUCACUCCCACACUCCAGCAACCAUACAGAACAAUAAAAAAACCGAGUGCAAAGGUGUAAGGCAUAUUAAGCAUAUAGCGAAGCCAGCAACAUUACCUACUACACUUUGCUAGGUAUCACUUUGGCAAAGUUUUUGGAGGGACAGAGAGAGUUGGAAUUACAGGUGGUAUAGCCAUGAAAAGAACAGUUAUCCCUUUUCACCUCCAGAACCUACUGAUCCUCCCAGUAAAACAAUGGAUUGGUUAAGCAACAAACACAGGCUCAGUUCUUGUGGUGGGAAUAGAAAGAUAUACUAGUGAUUGAGAUGUGAGAGCAGAAUUAAAAGUAUCACAUAUAAAAAGGUUCAGUUCCUCCUUGGUAUUAGAUGCUUUCAGUUACUAAUCAGAAUCAAGGUACUGUAGGCCAUCCUUUAUCGAUGCUAUUAUAUUAAGCCAAUGCCUGUUUGGUCUUCCCUUGCCACCCCUUAGAAGAUCAACUUUUGUAACAUACCCACCGGUGUCCUUACUUUCACUAGAAAAGCAGCAGCAUGCUAGACAUUUCAAUGUUUGACCUUUUUUAUGAAACAACCCCAUCCACAUCUUGAGACAGGCAACCAGAAAAGACCAGAGAGGUCCAUACCUCAUGGGAGUCAAGCCACAUUAAAAAAUCUAAUCCUUUUCCCAACAACUUGAAUUGCACAAGCAGGAACUGGUGAGAUCUUGUGGUCCCAGUUGCCAACUCUUGGGUCUCGACUACAAUCUUAAGUUCAAGUACAAUCAAUAUUGAGCAGCAUAAUCAAUACACUGUAACUCGUCACAAACGCCAUGAAGGAGUUCAGGAAAAACGUUGAACGAUAUUCCUAGCAAAUUGCUGGGGAAAAAGUGGACACCGAAUGUUAACCCUCAUCUAAACAUUUAAUCUAUAACUCAGAAUCAGUGUCUCACGAACAAUUGAGUGUAAUCAAACUUGAGUUUACCUGAAUACUCAUUACAAUCAUCAUUUCAAGUCCCAAACUAUCAAAUGAGUUGAGCUUUUUUGAGGUCAGCAACAACUCCCCGAUCCUCAGAGCUCCUUUCAUUGUAUAGUACCUGAAUAAAAUUGAGAGAAUGGGUUAGAUACAACAUGAAAACCAGACUGAAUGCAAAUUAAUUCUUUCGACUGGAGGUACCUUGUCAAUAAUGCUGUAUUCAACACCUUCACUAGGACUAAAAUAUUUUGGGCGCCUGAUGUCAGCUUCAAUUUGCUCGGGUGACUUUCCCACAUGUUUUGCAUAGAGUUUAACCUUGAACAUAAGUUAAAUGACAAAAUGUUCUUUUUCUUCUCAUAUGCUUGGCUACAUGACCAAAUGAACAAGUGCUUGUCAGUCAGGUCCAUCCUCAGCUUGCUUUAAACUCUAAGGAAAAACAACAUUGUUGGAUAGAAACUGAUUCAACAAGCACUCAAAAUAAUAAGAAAAUACACUUGCCCUUUUUCUAAAAUAACUAUCAAUACUAGUCAUCUGACUUGAGAAAUUGACUCACACCAACUUAUUACAAUGAACAAACAAGCAUGCCAUUUAUUACUUCCAUACUCAAAGCUGUGGUUUCAGCCAUCAAUCAAAACUGGAGUGACUCCAUAGGUUCCAGAUGAUGAGCCAAUGAUUGUAUAUCGACUAGAUAGGAAGAAGAAGAGAGAGAGAAAGAGAGAGGGAUUUUAUUGUUUAGACAAUACAACACCUCUGCUAUAUAUAGCAGGGAUUAGGAAAAUAGAGAAUAACAGAGUUUUAACAAAGAAACGAAAAUAACUAAUGCUAUUGCAACAAACUAAACAAACUAAACUACUAGUUGUUAAUUGCUACUUUGCCUAAUUUGCUCCCUCAAACGAAGCCUCUGGGAGCCACUGAACCUGCCACCAUAAACUUCAAUCAUUCAAGCUUUUUACCACUCAGUAGAAGCAAUCAGACUUUCAAAAGGAGAUCCUAAGAACCUUCACUGAUUUUCCCUUUCAAAACAAACAUCCCAGCAACUCCAAGCAAAUAUUGCUGUCACACUAAGCCUAAUCUCCAUUCUUCAGAUCAAGAGAAGUAACAGUAAGCUUCCCACGCAGCUUGUCAAAGAACCUGAAAGAUAAAGGCUUUGUGAACACAUCUGCAACUUGAUCCCCAGUUGGUACAUGAUUGACCACCAACUUUCUCUCCAUUACUUUCUCUCUUACAAAAUAAAGGUCUAACUCCAUAUGCUUAGUCUUCGAAUGCAAAACUGGAUUAGCUAAAAGGGAAACGGUACUUAUAUUGUCACACCAAAUUACAGGAACCAUAGUCAUCUUAGUUUGGAGCUCAGACAAGAGGGACUGCAACCAUAACAUUUAUGAGGUCAAGCUAGCCAAGCUUUUAUAUUCUACUUCAGUACUAGAUCUAGAAAUAGCGUGCUGCUUUUUUGAACUCCAUGAAACCAAGCUUUUCCCAAGAAAAACACAAUGCCCAGAUGUAGACCUUCGAUCAUCAACAUCACUCCCCCAGUCAGCAUCGUAAAACCCCACUAAAUUCAUAGUUUCUGAUGGCUUCAACACAAUACCAAGAUCUGUAGUGCCAUUGAGAUACCUUAAAAUUCGUUUGAUAGCCUUCCAAUGAGUAUCUAAAGGCUUCUGCAUAAAUUGGCAAACUUUGUUGACACUAAAAGCAAUCUUGGGUCUAGUGAUGGUUAUGUAUUCCGAAGCUCCAACAACACUUCUAUACUAAAAAACAUUAUCAAUUGGAUCACCCGUUCCAGUUGAAAGUUUUAAACCAGAAAGCAUAGGAGUGGGAAAUGACUUAACUCCAUCCAUUUUAGUCUUCUUGAGCAGAUCCUGAAUGUAUUUUUUUUUUUAGAGAUAUGGAGUCCACCAUCUGUAGUUUUCUUUACCUCAAUUCCCAAAAAAUAGCUAAGCUCACCAAGAUCUUUAAGAGAAAACAAACCACUUAACUUUGAGAUAAGCUCGUGAAUCUCUUGACUACUACUUCCUAUCACCACAAUGUCAUCAACAUAAACAAGAACAAAGAAAGAAGAACAGUUGGUAAACCUUACAAAUAAGGACUGAUCUGACUUAGUGGAAGAAAAACCAAACCAUUGAAGAGAAAUCUUGAGUUUGUCAAACCAGGCCCGAGGUGCCUGCUUUAAGCCAUACAAGGCCUUAUGUAGUUUGCAAACUAGCUUUUGUUCUUGAUUGGUUCUACCAUCAAAACCUGGAGGUUGGUCCAUGUAAACUUCCUCUUGCAAUUCACCAUUUAAAAAGGCAUUAUUGACAUCCAACUGCCUUAUAGACUAGCUUUGAGAAAUAGCAACAGCAAGAACAACUCUAAUUGUAGUAGGCUUCACAACUGGGUUGAAGGUUUCAGAAAAAUCAAAACCAGGAACUUGAGAGUAGCCCUUUGCUACUAGACGAGCUUUGUACCUAGAGAUAGAACCAUCAGGAUUCCUUUUGAGUUUAAAAACCCAUCUGCACCUAACAAAAGUUUUGUUACUUGGAAGAGAAACCAAAGACCAGGUCUUGUUCUUCAUCAAAGCUCUAAAUUCUUCACCCAUUGCUUCUUUCCAUUUGGGAUGAGAGAUUGCUUCCUGGAAAGCAUUAGGUUCUUCAACGUUAAGAUUAACAGUAUAGACCUUCGGUUUAAAAAUACCAUUCUUUGACCUCAUAACCAUAUGAUGUGGUUGUUGUGGUAAAGUGACUGGUCUUGUAUUGAUAAAUUCAUUUGGUUCAUCUGAAUUUGUUGAUCAAGGAAUUGUACCAGGAAGAGCAUAUAGAUUAGAAGAAGAAUAUAUGGAAGCUGACUCAUUGAGAAUUGGCACAAUUGAAGAAGAAUCAGUGUUUGAUAAAUCCUGUUGAACAGACCUAAUGUCUGAACCAGGAUUCUCAUCAAGUUGAUGACUUGACUGAGCUGAAGAUGUGGGAAGUGACAGUGAAGGACUGACACUUAUUGUCUCUAGGUUUUUAACUAAAGGAAUGCAAGGAAGACCAACUGUUGAAUGUAAAACAGUUUGAACAGGUUUUUGAAGUUUAUCUGCAAAAGGAAACUUAGUUUCAUCAAAGAUAACACUUCUAGAAAUAAACAUUCUUCCUUGUUGAUUUAAGCAUUUAUACUCUUUGUGUUUAGAACUAUAACUAAGGAAAGUACAAGGUGAGGACCUAAAAUCUAGUUCAUGUUUAUUGUAAGGUCUUAGGUGAGGAAAACAAAGGCAGCCAAACACCUUAAGCUGAGAAUAAUUGGGUUUAGAAUUAAACAAAAACUCAUAGGGACUUUUGCUUUAAGACCUCAGUAGGCAACUUGUUGAUAAUAAAAAUAGAUGUGGAAAAAGCAUCAGACCAAUAUUUAAGUGGAACAGAAGCUUGAGCAAGAAGAGUCAAACCUAACUCCACUAUAUGUCUAUGCUUUCUUUCAAUAAUGCCAUUCUAUUUUGAAGUAUGAGGACAUGAAAGCCUAUGUAUUAUACCAUUUUGUUCAAAAUAGGUUUUCAAACUUCUAAAUUCACCACCCCAAUCUGUUUGAAAGGUUUUGAGUUUACAACCAAAUUGGAGUUUAGCUUGAGCUUUAAACAGUAAAAAGGCUUCUUUGGUUUGUGACUUAGUUUUCAAGAAAUAAACCUAGGUGUAUCUAGAGUAUGCAUUAGCAAAAGAAACAUAAUAUGUGAACCCAUAAAAAGAAUUAAUUGGAGCUGGCCCCCAUAAAUCUGAUACAACUAACUGAAGAGGCUUAGUAUACAUAGUUUGAGAAAUUGGAAAAGGCAAAUUAUGACUUUUCCCGAGCUAACAAGCUGAACAAAUUGAAGAACCAGAUUUGGUAGAAAAUGGAAUUUUAUUAUCAUUGAGAAUUUGUGUUACAAUUUUUGUGGCCAGAUGACCAAGCCUUUUAUGCCACAGAUCAAAAACAUGAAAACUAGAAUUGGUUGUUUCUGGAAAAUCAAAAUUGUCAUUAUGCAUAAGAAAAGCAGUACAACAUGUAAGUUCAUUUUGACCAUUUGAUAAAGAAAGACCAGAUGCUUUUCCAAAGAGUUUCUUUGACAGGUUGAACUAAUAGAGUCCUUUAUGUAGAUUGCCCUGCAAGAGUAAAGAGUGAUUAGAUCUGUCUUUAACAAAACAAACCUUUGGAUGAAACUCAAAAUAAACAUUAUUAUCUCUAGCAAAUUGAGAAACACUUAACAGAUUUUUCUUAAUUGUAGGAACUCUAAGAAUAUUUUUAAGAAAAAGAACUUUAUUUGGACUAGAAGAAGAAGGAAAAAUAGAUAAACCAAUGUGUGAAAUUUCAGGUCCAGUCCCAUUUCCCAUGUGGAUUUUUGAGUUGCCAUUAUACUCAACACCAGAAUUGAGGUUGCCAAGAUCAUGAGUAACAUGGUUUGUGGCUCCUGAGUCUGGGAAUGAACAACAAUUUUGAAGAUCUUCAGGAGUGGCAACAAUUGCUUCCAUUUUUGAGUAAUCUUGAUCUUCUUGAGCAUCAUACUCAGUGAGAUUGACAUUUCCAACACUAGAAAUUGAACCAGAUGCUCCAUUCCUUGCACCACUUCCUAAAACACCAGGAGUAGGUCCAUUAGCAGGCAUAUUCCCAUGGAAAUUUGGAUUAUACCUAUAGAAGCAACGAUGAACAGUAUGACCAAAUUUAUUGCAUAGUUGACACUAAGGCUUGAUUCCUCCUUGAGCUCUGCCAUGACCUCUUCCUCUAUUAGGAACAAAAAACCCUCUAAUUAUCUGAUUUCCUCCAAAUUGAUUCCUAUUCUGAAAACCACUAGAAGGGUAGCCAUUAGAAUUCCAAGAGGAAGAAGAACCUCUAUUAGAAUACUGAGAGGUGUAAUUCACAGAAAGAUCAUUAGAGGAGAUUUUGUGUGCAAUUCUUCCUUCAUGAGCAAUCAAAGUCGAGGUGACAUAUUGAAGAGAAGGAGAAGACUUUUUAGAGGAGAUAACAGCAAUGACAGACUCGUAUUCAUCUCCAAGACCUUGCAUUAUAGCAAGUAUAUGAUCUGUGUCUGAAAUCUUAUGACCAGCAGUAGCAAGAAGAUCACAAUAAUUCUUCAUUUUGGUAAGAUAAUCUCUCAUAGUCAGACCAUCCUUUUUUAACAUAUGCAUUUGACUCUUGUAGAACAUAACCUUUGCAGAAGAUUGAGAAUUGAAAUUAUGGGAAAUUGUAUUCCAUACCUCAAAAGCUGAAGAACACCCAACAACCUGAGGCAAGAACGCACUUCCGAUUGAAGAUAGAAGCCAAGAAAUCAACAGAUGAUCUUGGCGUUGGUAAUCUCUGAACUUAGGAUUUGGAACCAAAAUCCCUGUUCCAUCAUUCACCAUCUUUGGUGGAACUUGCUCUGUUCCAAACAAGAAACCUUCAAGACCAUAACCCCGUACAACAUUUUCAAUUUGAUACUUCCACAUCAAGAAAUUAUCAUCCUCUAGACGCAUAGUAAUAAGCUGACUCAAAGGGCUUAUUGCCAUUCUCAAAGAUUCGUCUGUGGUCGUCGGAUUGCCUCUUCUAGUUUCAGCUGAAGGAUCCAAAUGUAGCACCUCUCUAGUAGUCUGAUUCACAUCUGCCAUUGAUGUGUGAGCACUGAUGCUCUGAUACCAAGAUAGGAAGAAGAAGAGAGAGAGAAAGAGAGAGAGGGAUUUUAUUGUUUAGACAAUAUAACACCUCUGCUAUAUAUAGCAAGGAUUAGGAAAACAGAGAAUAACAGAGUUUUAACAAAGAAACGAAAAUAACUAAUGCUGUUGCAACAAACUAAACUACUAGUUGUUAAUUGCUACUUUGCCUAAUUCAACUCAAUGUAAGACAUCUCAGCAAAUUAGGAAUACUCCAUUUUUCAAAACAUAAUAGAGAACUUUCCGAGUUUAUGCCACUUAGUUGCUUUUUAAAAGGCAUAUUUAUUUAUUAUUUAUUUUAUUUUUUAUUUUUAUUUAUUUAUUUUUAUGAGAAAAAGGCAUAUUUCCCACCUCAUAGAUUCAAGGCUUAUGAACAUAUUAUGCCAUAGAUAAACCUUUCGCAACAUUUAAACAAGUCAAUACAUAUUACAAUCAAACUCCACCUGCCAGCACUUCAUAUGUAAUAGUAGACAAAGGCAACAUAAUUGACUGUUAAUCUUACCAACUCUGCCUUCACAUUCUUCACUUCUUUUCUUGCAAGGUCAAUAUCUGUCGCCUGACCUUGAAGCCUUGCAAUUGGAUGCAGAUUGAUAGGAGGACAUGACUUUUCAUCUUAAAAUUUGAAAAAUUCCUUUGGAAAUUUAAUUAACAUCAUGACACUCUUUCGAGCCUUGUAAAAAAGACAAAGCAAGAGAACAAAAGAUACACAAUAGCUUAGAGCAAUAAAAAGUACUGGUAAAGAAGAAACCUGCUUUAGCAUGAUUGUUGAUGAAGGCAAAGCUGAACGGUUUCCUUUUGCACCUGCAACCAAAAGUAAGGCUGCUUCUCCCCAAGGAUUACCAACACACAAAGUAAAAAUCAGUGACUUUACAUACCUGCAGCAGAAGAUAAUAGCUAAGUCAGAUAUAGGAAAAAGAAGUAAAGAGUUACUCCAAAACUACUAGGUAAGCAACCGUGUAAUAACAAAGUUUUGAUUUGCAUUGGCAAGCUUCUUGUUUUUAUUUAUUUUGGUUAGGCAAUUUGCAUUCACGAAGGCUUCUAAUAAUUGUAUCUAGCAUCGAUACAAUACAAUACAUGUACAAAUACAAGAUAUCAAUAACAUUUGUCACUACAAAAUCAGUGCCAAAAGGGAAAAAUAUUUACAUAUUUUGUUAAAUGGUUAUUGGUGUUAACUUUUAUUAGUAAAGGACCUAUGCGUUAUUUUAGUCUUUUAUGGUAUUUUGAAUACGAUAUAUAUGCUUCCCUUCCUCUCAAAAUUUUUGGGUGUGUUUUCUUUGUUCAUAAUCUUCCUCCAAAUAAGGGCAAGAUUAAUAUUUCUCGGAUACUCAAAAAUGCAAAAUGAAUACAAGUGCUUUGACCCUGUGUCAUUAAUAUUUUAUUAGUGCUGAAUUAACCUUCUUUAAUAUACCCUUUGUUUUCCUCAUCAUGUUUUUUUUUUUUUGAUAAGUAAAAGCAAUUGUAUUAAGAAAGCUUGAUGUACACCUUAAAGCAUACACGAUGUCAAGGCCAAAAGGAAAAGCAAAAAAAUCAUCCCCUUACAACCCAACCCAUCAAUGAAAUCAGAAAUGGACCAUGAUGUACAAUCUACAUGCACAACAAUCCAAUCUAAAAACAUGUACAAAAAAGACCGUAAAAUAGCUUGAUCCACUAAUGAGUUGAUCAUGUUUUCCUCAUCAUGUUUCACAACUAGACAAUGAGUUGUCUCAAUCUAAUUUUAUUCCUCCCCCUUCUAUUACUAAUAAUCCUCCACUUGGAACUAGAAAACCAUUACAAGUGUCAAAAGAAACGAUUGAUUAAAAAUAGGGAAGAAAAUGAAGCCACCAUGUCCAAACUCUCGGAAUAACCUUUCCCCUACCCUUCAGUCUUUUACUCAUAUCAUGUCUACAACUUUCAUCCUUAAAUCUUAUCAAAAAGUAAUUUUUAUUAUAUAUAAGUAAAAGUAUUGUAUUACGAUGAGGCACUAAAAUAGGGACCCAAAGACAAUGGAAGAAGAGAUGCAUGCUCUUCUUAAUAGAGGUACAUGGAAGCUUGCUCACCAGCCCCAAAGGAAGGAUAUUGUUGGUUGCAGGAGUCUUUGCCAACAAGUAUCAUCCAUAUGAGAUUAUAAAGUGAUGGGAGGCUAAGGAGUAUACUCAAAUUUAAGGUGUAAAUUACUUUGAGACCUCUCCAGUUGACUAUAUUAGUUAGAUGUGAGAAUGCAUUAUUUUAUGUUGAUUUGAGUAAGGAAGUAUAAUUAGGGGAAUUUGAGAGUUCAGUUUGCAAAUUAAUAAGGUUAUUUAUAGAUUAAAACAAUCUCCUCAUGCCUAGUUAGAUAUAUUAAGUAUUAUUUUUCUAUCAUUUGGUUUUACAAAAUAUGAUAUUGACUACCUUGUGUAUUUGUUCUCAAGAGGGAAACUGGCAUAGUAGUACUCAUAUAUGUAGAUUCUCUAACAGUGAUAUCAUAAGCAUUGAAGAAGUGAAACAUUACUUGAAAAAAAACCAUUUUAGACAAAGGAUCAUGGGUUGUUGGGUUACAUCUGAGGCAAUUCAACACAUACCAUAUGUAAGAUUGUUUUGCCAAAGUAAAUAUGUAUCACAUUUGCUCAUUGAGAUUGGUAUGUUAGGAGUAAAGCCAGGGGAGAUCCUAUGUACCAAAUUGGGAAAGUUAAUAGACAAGAUAGUCCUAUAGUUCUAAACCUCCAGAUAAAAGAAGGUAUCAGAGUUUAGUGCGUACGCUCAUUUAUUUGACAGCUAGUUCAUGGAAGCACCAAAGCAAAUUUACUGGGACGCAAUGUGCACAAUCUUAACGUAUCUUAAAGCCUAAAGGUACUAUAAGUAUGAGAGUAAUCUAAAAAAGAAGUUCUAGCUUUGUCCUUGAUGCUGCGAGCCUUUCAAAUGUGGACUAGGCAGAAUCUUCAACUAACAGGUGGUCCGCUAGUGGGUAUUUUACCUUGUGCGUGGUAACCUAGUUACUUGGAGAAGCAAAGGUAGAAUGUCAUAUUUAAGUAGAAUACAGGACUAUGACUCAUACAGUGUGAGAGUUAAUGUUGGGUCCCAAAUUUCUAUAGGACUUUGGAUUUUCUCUUGAAAAGCUCUUGAUCAUGUAUUGUGAUAAUUAGGCUAUUAUUCACACUACCAGUUACCCCAUUUUUGACAAAGCACAUUGAGGUUGACUCAUUUUAUCAAAGAAGUUUAUGAGCAAGAAAGUAAAUUCUCUACACUGAUGAGAACUUGACUCAACUCAGGAAAGCCAUAUUCCAACUGCUUUGGGAGAAAUAAGAUAAAUGUUCUCAAGGAUUAGAGUAGAACUUUUACACAAGCAUUCCACCAAAGGCAAAUCUCUUCUUUCACUUUCUCUUAUACUCUGAUCUUUCCAAUUACUGCUUUAAGAUUCAUGACUUUCUGAUGCAUUUAGGCUCACUAGUAUCUUCAAACUAUUUGUAAAAUUUUGUGUUAACAUUUAUAUUUCAAUAUGGAAGUUAGACAUCAAUACACAACAUAGACUAUUGAUACAUGCCACUUCAAUAAUUAACUGAAUGAAUUAGGGUGGAUCCAAUUGGCUAUUAACUUUAAAGGCCAGAGUGAUAUUUUGUGGUGGAAAUUUUUAAAAAAGUUACAAAUAAACAAAGCACAAUGAGCAUAAUCCAAAAAAAAUGUUGGCACAAACUCAAUCAUAUUCAGUUUGAGGUCUAAAAGACAUGCUCUAAUUCAAUGUGGAUAAUGAAAGAAGUUUAGGCAAAUGCAUUGUUCUACAGAAAAACUAAGAGAUGAUAGGCUUGGAAAAAGUUGGAAACUAUCGAAUUCCCCAGAAAUUACGAUAGUCACCAGAUCAUAGUUGUUAAUAGGUACGCUUAAAGCUACUCUAGGCCCAAGGCUCAACUACUCCUAGUCGUAGCUCCUUGCUUGUCAAGGCAUGCACCUUGUUGGAGAAGCGCAUCUCAUCUACUUUACUCUUCCUUUUCUAACUCUUUUAUUGUUAGUAUUUCUAACAGUGUGUUGAAAUUUAUAUGAUCUCAUUAUUUUUUGGUUGAAGACUUCUUUUAAAUGUUUGGAAUUUGAAACUUUUUAUCAAUUGGAUUGGAUUUUGAAUAACUUUUUAUCAAUUGGAUUGGAUUUUGAAUAACAUUAUAGAAAAUUGACAUAUUCUAGGUCAUAUUUCACUUGGCUCAAGCGUGCAUCUUAUGUUGUGCCUAAGCAUAAGCCUAAGCCUAAGCCUAAACCUUAAGAGACUUUUACACCCUAGGUGCACUUAUCGCCUUUUAAAACUAUUGACUAGAUUGAAUCCCUGGAACUAUAAAUUAGUAUUUACGCAAUUUUUCUUUAGUCAAUGAAAAUUUAAAUUCAGUCAGAUUUCUAGUCAGAAAUUGGACAGGAAAAUUAAAUAUCCAUCUUCUAAAAAGAAAUAAUCUUCUAAAAAAAAAAGAAAAAAAAUCCCAUAUCCAUUUAAAGUAAGGAAUAGAUAACCUGUAUAAUGUAAUAGUGUAAAAGAAGGAAAAUCAUAUAUGAUAGCCAAGUGCUUAAACUAAAAUAAAAUUUGUAUAUGAUAAUGAGAAGUGACCUUGUUGAAUCUGUGGUUUAAAAGCCACAUAAGAAUUUUUCUAUGGGGACUGAUAUAAGAUGAUGUGCAAUCUCAUUUCAACAAAAAGCAUUGAAGCUUCCACAGUAGCAAGGAAAGAAACUCCAUUAUUUUAUUAGAAGAAAAGAAAUUUAAAAUAGUACUCAAUUCUUGAGAUAAAACGUAAUGAUGUUCUAAUCCAACCCAAUGUGUACUUGAACUAGUCUCACUAAGAUUCAUGUAGUCUUAAACCUAAAAAAGUUUUAGUUCAACUAUUUAACCACUAAGACUUUGGAAUUCACUCUUCAAAUUCAGAUAGCCAAAAGAAGUAUGAUUUUGGUUCCUGUUUUAUUCGUAAUGUGGAAUCACUAACCCCACGUCGAAGGAUUGAGGAAAACCACAGAUACACAACCCCUUCCCCUAGAACUGUUAUCAUGCAAGCUUGGGAAUCGAAUCUGAGACCUCUAAUUUGGGAGUCCGAGAAUAAGGUUUUAACCAUAUCCAACACUUGGAUGCAUGUGACAGUCAGAUACCACUCAUUUUGUGCUGAUAAUACCAUCAAAAUAUUCUACCAUUGCAACACCUAGACAAGUUCUCAUGACAGAAGAUACACGUAUAAAUACUAAGGUACCAACACACUGAUUUUUGUUUCUUGCAAGUAUUUGGCACUUUUUCUUGCAUUUUAAAAUGUAUAAUUAAAAAUGUAAUAUGGUCUAUACUUGUAUAUCCCAAUAUGUUGAAUCCUCAAUCACUAGGAUUUGUACCACAUAGCCAACUAUUAACAUGAUGAAAUAGACGUUGAAACGCAAAAGUUCGCUAAACAACUUGCUGCUGAGAUUGCUUCAGGAGAAGUUCUUGCAGAAGAGGUUUCUGUACUGAAAUUAGAGUGUUCAAAACUCAAGGAGGACCUCGAACAUCUUAGAAAUUCUAAGUCAAUUCCCGAAUUUGCUAGGAGGGAAAUUAUCCGGACAGAUUAGGAUCAUAGAUUUGAAGACUCACAGCUGAGAUGGCUAAAGGGAUUUUUAAAUAUGGAGGACAAGACGAGAGUUUCAAACUAAGGACCUCAAACAAAGAACUGGACAAACAAUUUCCAUGUUCAAUGCUUUACCAUCAGAAAUUGCAAACAUAAAGGAGAUGAGAGAAAGACAACAAUUUGUGUCAGGAACUGGAUUUGAUGCUGUAUUAUAUCAACCUAAAGAUUUCCUUCAUUACUUAGUGUAUCUGGCCUGGUUUCUAUUGUACCUGAUUCUCUAGAUGCCACCAAUGCAACAAAAGACAAAUCCUUUAAACUUCAAAGAGAGGGUUGGAUGAGUCUAAAGCCGAACGGGAAAGCCUUGCAAGAAAAAUGGACCAGAUGGAGUACUACUAUGAAGCCCUUGUGCAGGAGCUUGAGAAAAACCAGAAGCAGAUGCUGGGAGAAUUGCAGAAUCUGCAGAAUUUGCACUCUCAAUUACAAGAGGGAUAGAAAGCUCUACCUUUGGAUCUGAAAUUAGUCUCCAAAAAUUGAAACAGACGAUGAUGUCCGAACUUGAUUCAGAGAAUAAAGUAGGGAAGUUAAAGAAUUCUAAUAUAAAAUUGCAACUGGAGAAUUCUGAUUUGCAUGUAAAGGACUUAGGUAAUUCCCUGCACCACAAGCCUGAGUAGGAAGUCAUGCUGCUAACAGAUGAACAUGGACAUACAAAAAGGUCCGAGGAAAAGGAAAUCGACUUCAUUUUCGACCACGACCUAUGGUCAUCCUCUCAAGCUGAAUCCAAUUGGAUGUGAUUCUUCAGCCUUCAGUUCUUCAGCUAUCAGAAAUGGCAGUCCAAAAAGAAUAAAUUUCUCAGCAUAUUUCAGAGAUUUAUACGAGGAAUUAAUGUCAAAGCUCUUGGAAGUAAGUCCGAACGUAAGGGAUUUCAAGUAAUCAGAAAAGACCCAAAAAUGCAGCGAUGUAAGGUAUUUGAAUACGUGCAAGAGAGUAGAAAGGGAAAAUUUAGAGAGAAUAACGGCAGCACCUACAACCACCAGCAACAGUCACAACUGGACCCCCAAGCCCCACUCUAGCACGGCCAUUCUGGUGCACAUUACCCUCUUCCUCUUGCACCCUCUUGUUAUCCUCGUAUUUUUACAUAUUUUAAAUUGUGUUCUCAAAAUCGUUUUCAUCCAAAUAAUUCUUAUUUUAAAGAAUCGUCCUCAAUCCUUCCAUAAGCAGUAAGAUCCAGAUUUUAACAAACCCGUUGCUGCCAAUUUUCCCUCUGGUAUGCAUUUUCACUGUUUUCAAAUGAUUUUCUUGAUUUUCUUUUUUAAGCAAGCAUGAGCAAACUUCAUGAUUCCAAACAAUGGAAUUCAUAGAAUCAACUCAUGCAAAAUCAACUAGGGCUUUGGUGGGGGCCCGAUAUUCAUGAUAUUCUCAUCAAUAUAGUUUGCUUGAUAUUUGAUUGAUUGUACUUCCUCUUUGUGGUAUUGAGAUUAUUUCGCACUUGUUAUUAAGCAAACUUGUUUCCCAUAGAAGAGUAUUAGCUUGCUAUCUAGGUACGCUCAUCAUGCCCUCAAACUCUAAAAUUCUAUGAAUGUGUAUGUUAUCAUGAGCCAUGUCCAUGUUUGAUGCCAUAAUUGAUUGCCUUGAUGCUUGUUUGAUCAUCUUUGAUAAAAAUGCAUAUUAUGCGUCAUAUUUUCAAACUACCCUUUGAUGUCUUGUGAUAGCGCUUGAGAAGCCGUUCAGGUACGCACUUUGACUCUCUCUUAUGAUCAGACUUUGUUGCUUGACAUACUAUUUUUUGAAAACCCUUAGCUUACUUAGGUGUCCAUAAUCAAUCAUUUAUUUGCCACGUUUCCCUCAACUUAGUCAGUAGAGACUUUUAUAAGGCUUAGAGGGGGGCUACCUUUUAGAGGUAUCUUCCCAAUAAGUAACAUGAUCCUCGGACCUAGACUCGGGUUUUUUCAAAGACAUGUUUUUUCCAAAAAUUAUGGAGUCACAUUUUAGGGUUUUUCUUUCUUGUUUUAUUUUCCCUUUAAAAUAAAAAUAAAAUAAGGGGCGACUCCGACUUUUUCCAAAAUUAAUUUUUCACAAAUAAAAAGCGAGUCUCGUCGAUCAAGUGGGGGCGCACGUGAAAAAUGCGGGUCCACAAUAAUGUAAGAGCCCAUUAGAGCCGCAAUCCAAGCGUAAAGAUUGUGGAAGCUUAGUUGAAACUUUAAGGAUAGUGGAACCCUCACUAGGUGAGGAGUUUAAGGGAAGUGGACGUAAGCAAGGGAUGUCAAACCACUAUAAAAUUGUGUUUGAUCUCUCUAACUCAAUCUCUUUACAUUUAUUCCUUAUUUUGCUUAAAAUUGUUGUGGCUGAAAAAGUUUUUGAAAAACCCAAUUCAUUUGGGUGUUUUUUUUUUUUUUUAUAAUUAGAUUAGCCUUAUUUUCUCAUUUCUGUUACAACUUCCAUGUUUUUUUUUUUUUUUUUUUGUUGUUACAUGUCAUCUUUUAUUAAUGUUAACUUAUAUAUCUUAUGAACCAUUUAAACUUAAGUAUAAUACUCACUCAUCUUUUUAAAUCAUUGAAAUCGAAAUUAUUAGCAUUAUUGAUGCUUAAAUGAGAUAUAGAUGUUGAUUAAAUUAGAAUAUUAUCACAUGAUUAUAAUUAAAAACAAUGCCAAUCUUCCUUUUAAAUGCCGAUCUUUGCCUAAAAAUGGGUAUUUUAAACCUAAAGUUUCUUUAAUAAUAUAUUUUGCUCACAUAUUAACAUAUUAACCCUAACAUGUUAUUACAUGAGUUUUAUGACAUAAAUGAUUCAUGUUGUUAAACAAAAUAACAUGAAAUUAGAGAAAAUGCUUGUAGCAUGGCCCAAUUGGAAAACAUGCAUACAAAGCCAAAGUCAUCUCUAUCAAAUUUAUCAAAUAUUUACAUCAAUUUUAAUACAUAUUUAAUAUUUUAAUCGCCAUUUGGUGAAUACAAUUUAAUGAGUUAGAGCUACUAAAGAUGAAUCAACUUGUGUUGCAUAUUAGCAUGAGCAUGUUGCUUGAUCAUUUAGUUUUGUUUUGCCAAAAUAUCUGAAAAAGUGGAACUUUAUUGAUAAUAUAUAUCACUAAACUUGGUACACAGUCCCAUUCUUUAUUGAGCAAAGCCAAGAGUGCUUUGUUGUAACACCACAUACAAACAUAUAUUUGAUCACUCCACAAACAAAAAACUAGAAAUAUUUAAUAACCCAUAUAGCUACCACUUCCUAUGAUACUCUCUGAUUAUGCAGAAGUUGGAACCACAAUGGAAGAGCUUAAUAAUCAAGCUGAAAUUUUGAGUCAUACGCAACCCCAGCCUUCCAAUGACUAGGAAUCACAUUCAUCAGCUGCACCCACUUUUGCCCACGUCUCCCACUCACUUGGAACCUCAGGCUUACAGGACCCUUCGGUGGGUUAGCCAUGUCCCAUACUGCGCCAUAGCUCUUCCUCAUGCCCUUCCAUGCCUGGCUAUCCUCCUGAACCCAAAAGGAAUUGUGAAUUAGUACUCUUAAAUUUUAUCCAUAAUUUGAUUAGAAUGGCAGAUGCCUAGGUUGCUGUAAUAGUAUGUGUACCUGCCAUAUGUCCACUGCUGUGAUGUCGCUUAGGCCAGCUUGGUACAACAUGACUAGAGCUAAGUAGUCGGGAAACCGACUGUUCUCAUGGACCUUGAAGAAGAUGUUGGAACCCGGGUACUGACAUGGGACCCUUCUGUAUUCUAUGCCGACCACCCCAUAAGCAAAGAGGUCUGCAGCCUUGUUUGGACGAGCCAACAUUGAGAAUCCGUGCCGGCUGAGGAUGAAGUCGGUGUCAUCUCCUCCUCCGUGGUCGGUCACCACUACCUUCAUCCCAACAUCUGCACAAAGUUUUGGUAUCUUGCACCUAACCUGAAUUAUCAAUAAACAAUUGAGCACCAUUAUGGAUACAAAAAUCGAAAAAUCCACAUGUUUUAAACAGAACUAUUGAUGCGGGAGUACUUCAAAUUAUUUAAGGUGUGGUGAGGGGAAGGGGCAGUUUCAAAGAACACUCGUGUCUAGCGGCUGUCUAUUUCAAGCCUUCUCAGUAGUAAAGACUGAAAAGAUGAAAAUAUCGUGCAACUUUUUUCAAUUACCCUCUCCUUUCAAUCUUCAAUAUUUCACUUUAUGGUGUGGACUUUUUGAACUCGACCAACUAGAAGUGCUACUCAUUAAUUUUAUCUGAAAGCUUAUUCUCAAGGUCUAUUUACAAGUCAUUAUUGCAUGAAGAAUAUUCCCUCAGACACCCUUAAAAUUUCAUCGCAUCACACUCGUAUAUUUUAAUUACCUGAUAGCAUGCACCGCAGCCAGUCCCAUCCCUGUAUAGCCUAGAAACUGCGCCAACGUUGCCGCCGUUGACAUUUCUUCCAUAUUCGCCAAAGCCACAUGCUCCAGCUGAUUCAACAUAUGAUCAUUACCCCAUCUAUGAUAUAUACAAAGUAUGCAUGGAAGAGAUCAAUUAAGAUACGUACUUGGAGUCCCUAAGCCAUCAGAGGUGCCAUAAUAUGUUGCCCGUGAGUAUGUGAAGGUGUCUUCACACUUGCAUAGCACAGGCAAGAGCACAAUGACACAUAGAAAGCAGCAAUAGUGGCUAAGUGGAAAACCCAUGUUUAUACGGAAUUACUCAAGCAAAAUAUUGG
rnacentral:lncRNA from 1 species